rnacentral:misc_RNA from 1 species
GUGAAUUCGAAAGAUCAUAUCGGCUUUCUCACUACUCCCUCGUUCUUCAGUCCAAUGGCUGAAAUGAGUGUUACCACCGCUUCACUUCAAUCCUUUCCUAAAUCACUUCUCUGCUCUCUCUCAACUAGAAAAUUCAACUCUUCUUUUCACCCUUCAGCUAUUUUAUCUCCCAUUUCCAGGUUUUGCUUAAUAUCUAAAUUCAAUUCGUUUCGUUUCUCUGCUGCUGUUGUAAAGGCUGCUUCUUCUCCACACGCAAAUACAAAGGAGCCAAUGCUUCCUCCUUACGAUGUCUUAAUUACAGGUGCUUCCAAAGGAAUAGGCUAUGCAUUAGCUAAAGAAUUUCUCAAGGCAGGUGAUAAUGUCAUCAUUUGCUCCAGAUCAGAUGAAAGAGUUGUAUCUGCUCUCGACAGGUUAAGAGUUGAAACAGGGAAGCAGCAUGUGUGGGGCACCAAGUGUGAUGUUAGAGAGGGAGAUGACGUGAAGAACUUAGUUGCCUUUGCGAAGGAAAAGCUUCAAUACAUCGACAUAUGGAUCAAUAAUGCAGGAUCGAAUGCGUAUAGCUUCAAACCCCUGGCAGAAGCUUCUGAUGAAGAUUUAAUUCAAGUUGUCACUACAAAUACUCUUGGUUUGAUGAUAUGUUGUCGUGAGGCUAUAAACUUGAUGCAGAAUCAGCCUCGAGGAGGUCAUAUUUUUAAUAUUGAUGGGGCUGGCUCAGAUGGAAGACCAACCCCCAGAUUUGCAGCAUAUGGAGCAACUAAGCGCAGUGUUGUGCACUUAACAAAAUCAUUGCAGGCCGAAUUGGAAAUGCAGGAUGU